UACGUAGGUCGCAAGCGUUGUCCGGAUUUACUGGGCGUAAAGAGCGCGCAGGCGGCUGGUCAAGUCCGAUGUGAAAUCUCCCGGCUCAACUGGGAAACUGCAUCGGAAACUGAUCGGCUUGAAGGUGGGAGAGGGUAGUGGAAUUCCCGGUGUAGUGGUGGAAUGCGUAGAUAUCGGGAGGAAUACCAGUGGCGAAGGCGGUUGCCUGGGGCUUUGCUGACGCUGAUGCGCGAAAGCGUGGGGAGCGAGCCGG
rnacentral:rRNA from 1 species